GUUAGCUCUAAUAGAGCGUGUCUGCCUUAACAUACUGGCUGCAAGAACUGCCCGGGUGACAGGCAGGAGGGAAGCUCUCCUAUCCUGUCGGUCAGUUCUUGCAGCAUCUGCCCUGUCUCAUAUCCCUGUGUCAGAGCUUCUCUCUCCUUCCCCUGCCUGCUAACCUUGUAGUUGCUGAUCUGACAGGAAACUAAAGAUCCUCUACCCACAGAUCGGCAACUAAAG